CCUACGGGAGGCAGCAGUGAGGAAUAUUGGUCAAUGGACGAGAGUCUGAACCAGCCAAGUAGCGUGAAGGAUGACUGCCCUAUGGGUUGUAAACUUCUUUUAUAUGGGAAUAAAAUGUUCCACGUGUGGGAUUUUGUAUGUACCAUAUGAAUAAGGAUCGGCUAACUCCGUGCCAGCAGCCGCGGUAAUACGGAGGAUCCGAGCGUUAUCCGGAUUUAUUGGGUUUAAAGGGAGCGUAGGUGGAUUGUUAAGUCAGUUGUGAAAGUUUGCGGCUCAACCGUAAAAUUGCAGUUGAAACUGGCAGUCGUGAGUACAGUAGAGGUGGGCGGAAUUCGUGGUGUAGCGGUGAAAUGCUUAGAUAUCACGAAGAACUCCGAUUGCGAAGGCAGCUCACUGGACUGUAACUGACACUGAGGCUCGAAAGUGUGGGUAUCAAACAGGAUUAGAUACCCCAGUAGUC
rnacentral:rRNA from 1 species